AACCGAUCUCAGUCAACAAGAGGUUUAUCAGUUCAAUGUGCCUACUUUUGGCCCUGGUGUGGUUUUUGACGUUGAUUAUACUAUCAGACAAGAGCAAUUUAGGUUCUUUACUGAAUCUUUGAGGGUAAAUAAAUUGAAGGGAUAUGUGGAUCAGAUGGUCAUGGAAGCUGAGGUACUGAAAGAAUUUCUGUAAAUUGGUCACAUUUAUUGUAUAUAAUAAUGUUUGCUUCAGUUUUAAGUUACUAAGCAUGGUACUUUGCUAUACCACUAAUUGGACUUUGCGUGCCUAUUUUAUCUGAAAAUAGUGAACAGAAUUUGAAAAGGGUCAAUAUCUAUGUGCUCUAAUUGUGCUUCUGAAGAUGAGUUGACCUGUGUCGCUGUGAUUCAACAAGAAAAAUUUAUAUUGGUUGCCUUAUUUAGGAUAAUGUCCUUAGAUCUCUGAAAUUCUCUUAUGAUCUUGGAUCUUUAUUUCUUUCCCACCCUUUUAACUUCUAUUGUUUUUCUCCUGAUUGAUUUUAGUUUGGCUUAUCACUGGUUUUACAAGAAUCCCCUACUAGAUCCUUGGCCUAGUAAUGUUGUAUUUGUUUCUGUAACUAAGAUCGUGAUCAAGUUUCCUACUUUUUCAGUAGACCAUACUGCAAGAUCUUAAGGCUCAGUAUUAUCAUGCAAUUAGUAUUAUCUUUUCAUUUGCGUUUUUUCCCUUAAGUUGGGGAGAGGUGUAGAUAUUUGUUUAAAUGAACUAGCAUUUGCACCACUUUUAAGUGUGUAUUAGCCCUUUUGGAAUUUUUUUUUUUGGGGGGGGGGGGGGGGGGUUCAAUUAAUUAUGCAUGCACUCUUAGAUGGAGGAAAAGUAUGGCAGAAUGAUUUUGUACUGUUUGAACUUUGCAUAAGUGUAGCUUGAUUAAUCGGGUUUGUUGUUCUUUCUUCUUCUUGUGCAUGGCAAAUGCAGGAGUACUUCUCAAAAUGGGGUGAUAGUGGUGAAGUGGACUUGAAGUAUGAACUGGAGCAUCUUAUCAUACUGACAGCUAGUAGAUGUCUGUUGGGAGAAGAGGUUCGCAAUAAACUCUUUGAGGAUGUCUCUGCUCUCUUCCAUGACCUGGACAAUGGGAUGCUUCCUAUCAGUGUAAUCUUUCCCUACCUUCCCAUUCCAGCCCAUCGCCGUCGUGACAAUGCCCGCAAGAAGCUCGCGG
rnacentral:lncRNA from 1 species